rnacentral:lncRNA from 10 species
CCGCACUAUAGGAUGAACUAUAGUGAGGACAAUCAUCUCUUUUGGCAUGAGAAGCACAAGAAACUGAUUAAAAUUGGCCCUAGACUCUUCAGCUUUCUCUGGUAAGCCCUGGCUUACAGAGUCUUUGAAGUGGGGUGCUCUGGUUCCCAUCCACAAGAGCAAGAAAGGGAUGACACCCCAGGGAGCCGCCCCAGCAACAGCUGCCAAUACUUCUUGGAGCAGCAGCCCAUAAUCACCUCAUUUUCCUGCUCCCAGUGCCAUCCGAAAGGGACUCUGCGGCCUUCGGCUUCCUGGGAGGUAGCACAGAUGGAAGGCUGCAAGGACGCAGAGGGAACACGUCUAUCAAAACGGCCGGCUUCUGAUGCUGGGCCCUGGGGUCCCAAGCCCUCCAAAGAUAAGAGAAUCAGGCGAGAAACAAGAGCCCAGCACUUUUCCGCAGAAACAAAAGGACGGAGAGAAAGGACAAAACUCAAAGUCAUCUCUCUGCUCACCUGAGACAAGUACACAUCUGAUUGCUUCCUCUGAUGUAAAAAAGCAGAGUCACUGAGCUAGACAAGGCAUAAGUGACUAUUCCUCUACCCCCUCCCACAUGUGAAUUGUGUAUUUGGUGAAAGGCUGAUCAAAGACUCAAAAGAAUGCAACCGCUUGUCUCUUAUCUGCCCAUACCUUUGCAAAAUUUCUUCCUCUUUCCCCAAUAUUCUCCCUUUAAAUAUUGAAGCCUUCAAAAUCAUCAUUGGAGAAAGGCACAAACUUGCCUCCCAGGUGCACGUCCUUAACCUUGGCA